rnacentral:rRNA from 1 species
UACGAAGGGGGCUAGCGUUGUUCGGAAUUACUGGGCGUAAAGCGUGCGUAGGCGGCUAUCUAAGUCGGGUGUGAAAGCCCCGGGCUCAACCUGGGAAUUGCAUUCGAGACUGAAUAGCUAGGGUACGGUAGAGGGAAGCGGAAUUUCCGGUGUAGCGGUGAAAUGCGUAGAUAUCGGAAGGAACAUCAGUGGCGAAAGCGGCUUCCUGGACCCGUACCGACGUUCAGGCACGAAAGCGUGGGGAGCAAACAGG